UACGGAGGGGGCGAGCGUUAUUCGGAAUUAUUGGGCGUAAAGGGCGCGUAGGCGGCCUGGUCAGUCGAAGGUGAAAUCCCCGAGCUCAACUUGGGAACUGCCUUCGAUACUGCCGGGCUUGAGUCCGGGAGGGGAGAGUGGAAUUCCCAAUGUAGCGGUGAAAUGCGUAGAGAUCGGGAGGAACACCAGUGGCGAAGGCGGCUACCUGGACCAGCACUGACACUGAGGCACGAAAGCGUGGGGAGCAAACAGG
rnacentral:rRNA from 1 species